UUUUGUGCGUUCAACGUGCUUCGGAAGCGAUGGAUGACUCACCGGAGGCCCGCCCAUUCUUCAUUGUAAAGUUUCCGGAUGAGGAAAACAUGGUUGCCGUUGUGCCAAGUAACUGGAUGGCCGGCGAUGACAGGUGCUACUGGCCACCAUCCAAAGACGAGAAAAUAGCCAGCUUGUAUAUACGCAAACGGAAAACCCCCACGUAUGGCUGGCAGAACUUACCCUGCAUCAAGGUGGGUGAAUAUGAAACAUACAGCAAAGCAAGGGAGAUGCUCCCUCUAGCGGAGAAGACAUCCUAUCUGAAUGCAGAAGACGAAUAUGGGCGGGGCAAGCGAAAGCGGAUUGUCGUGUCGAACAGCGACGUCUCCUCUCCACCAGCGUCUCCCCUAAUGCGCAAAGC